rnacentral:rRNA from 1 species
UACGAAGGGGGCUAGCGUUGUUCGGAAUUAUUGGGCGUAAAGGGCGCGUAGGCGGUGCGGUAAGUCACCUGUGAAAUCUCCUGGCUCAACUGGGAGCUUGCAGGCGAAACUGCCGUGCUGGAGUGUGGGAGAGGUGCGUGGAAUUCCCGGUGUAGCGGUGAAAUGCGUAGAUAUCUGGAGGAACACCGGUGGCGAAGGCGGCAUCCUGGACCAUUACUGACACUGAAAAGCGAAAGCCAGGGGAGCAAACGGG